AGAGAGAGACAUGCGCGCAUAUCAAUAAGCGGAGGAAAAGAAACUAACAAGGAUUCCCUUAGUAACGGCGAGUGAAGCGGGAAGAGCUCAAAUUUGAAAUCUUCAAGGCUUUACCUUAACGAAUUGUAGUUUAAAGAAGUGUUUUCUGCUGAAGUUUUGGUAAAAGUUCUUUGGAAUAGGACAUCAUAGAGGGUGAGAAUCCCGUAUUUGACCAUUAUUUUCAGCUUUGUGAUACACUUUCAAAGAGUCGGAUUGUUUGGGAAUGCAGUCCAAAAUGGGUGGUAAAUUUCAUCUAAAGCUAAAUAUUGGCGAGAGACCGAUAGCGAACAAGUACCGUGAGGGAAAGAUGAAAAGAACUUUGAAAAGAGAGUUAAACAGUACGUGAAAUUGUCAAAAGGGAAGCGUUUGACACCAGUGUUGUUUUCUCGAAAAUCAAUUAAAAAUGGCUCGAUUUUGUAUUGCUGAGACCUUAAAAGCUCACUGUACAUUUUUCGUGUCUUUUUUAAUGCACUUUUCGUUUAACAAGUCAACAUCAGUUUCUUUUGUUGUAAAAGGGUCAUUGGAAGGUGGCUUUCUUUUCGGAGAAAGUGUUUAUAGCCUUUGGCCUCUGCAAUCGAAGAGACUGAGGUCUGCAGCGUAGACUCUUCGGGGUUAGAUACAUUUGUGCUAAGUUAUAGCCUUUUCAUAGACAACUUGUUGACUAUAAUCAGUCAUGUAGCUUACUCGCUUAUGCUAUUUUACCUACGCUUAGGAUGUUGAAGAUGUAGCACAUCAU
rnacentral:rRNA from 1 species